GCUGCAGAAACACUAGAGGUGAAGUAUAUGUUGUUUGCAUAAUUCUUCUUCUUUUAUACAUAAUUAGAAUUUUACAUGUAGGUGCAAAAGAGGCAGAUUUAUGGCAUCACUAAUGUGCUUGAAGGGAUAGGAUUUAUGCCAAUGCUGCAGAAGUUGAAAACCUAGUCUCACAAGAAUGUCAGUUGGAUGAGUGCAUCAGUGUGCAGAAAUGUUCUAGUUUUAAAGCAGAAUGCAAGAAAGUAUGAGUGUGUUCACUGAAGAAGAAAGUAAUCAAAAGCCGCUUUACCUGACCAAAGAUGACAUCAAAAGCAACAACUAUAUGUUAUGUGGCACUGCAUCCGAACCUCU